GCUGGGAGUGGUGGUGCACACCUGUAGUCCCAGCUACUUGGAAGCUGAGAUGGAAGGAUCACUUGAGCCCAGGAGGUAGAGGUUGUAGUGACCCAAGUUCGCACCACUGCACUCUAGCCUGGGCAACAGAGGAAGACCCCGUCUCUA
ensembl:misc_RNA Metazoa_SRP Metazoan signal recognition particle RNA